AUAUAUAUGUAUGUAGAUAGAUAUUCAUUUCUAUAUAUUAAAAAUAUUUUAUAUAGCUUGUCAUUUUAUAUUUUAUAGAUAUAGAUAUAAUGCCAAUCUAGAUAUCAUGAAGAAUCCUACAAUCAGAAAGAAGAAUAACAAAUGGAGGAAUAUACAAGUCAAAAGUAAAAAAGAUCCAUGAAAGGGUUUCAACCAAAUGAACCAUUUUUGGCUCCAUAGAUCCCAGAAGAACAAGAUGAUCCAUAGGAAAUGCCUUCCAAUGUGGAAAUUCAGAUGAAUAUAUUUUUUUCUGGAACACUGAGAGAUAAAAGAAAACGUGUUGUCAUAAAACAAAGAAAGAAAAAGGAAAGGAAGAAAAAAGAAAAUAAAGGAAGGAAGAAGGAAAUAAAGGAGAAUAAUGAUUAUUAGCCUGGAUCAGCAUUCACACCUUAUCUAGAAAAGAGGAAUCCCUUCCCUUUCCAUUUAUGAUACUCUCACAAAGGAUAUGAGAUACAAGUUUUAGAAAUAUUGUUUUCCUGAAGCUUAUGUUCAAGUCCAAUUAAAAAUUAGAUACUUGCUAUUUCCACUAGUGUUUGAUGUGGAGACUACUGAUGGAACUAUUCAACUGAAUGCAAUUCAAGAAACAUUAAGCAUUCUAUUUGAAAGGGAAAUAAAAACAAAAAUGAAAUAUUACCUUCUCUCA
rnacentral:lncRNA from 1 species